UGCCCGCAGCAACCGGUUCCCACGAGCCCUGGGGCGGUUUUGAGACUGGAGGCGGGAGUGGGUUGGACGCGCGUCCCGGCUCCUGAGACCCAGCUGGAGUUUCAGAGUCAGAAAAGAAGGCACAGAUGUAAAACCAGUUUACAUUCAGAAGAAACAGAAUCAAAGAAUGCUCUCUACCUAGCUGCCUCCUCAACAAUGACAGUCGGGAAAAUGUGACCAUCACUGCAUUAGCAGAAAGCCGAGAAACCAUUGGUGAACCGUCCCGACAAACUCCCUGUUAUGGUGGAGCUUACAUUCUGGUGAAAAGGGAGAGACAGCGUGAAUGGGGAAGGGUCAGAGAGAGAGG